rnacentral:rRNA from 1 species
UACGAAGGGGGCUAGCGUUGCUCGGAAUCACUGGGCGUAAAGCGCACGUAGGCGGACUCUUAAGUCGGUGGUGAAAUCCUGGAGCUCAACUCCAGAACUGCCUUCGAUACUGGGAGUCUCGAGUCCGGGAGAGGUGAGUUGAACUGCGAGUGUAGAGGUGAAAUUCGUAGAUAUUCGCAAGAACACCAGUGGCGAAGGCGGCUCACUGGCCCGGUACUGACGCUGAGGUGCGAAAGCGUGGGGAGCAAACAGG